rnacentral:rRNA from 1 species
GACGAACGCUGGCGGUGUGCUUAACACAUGCAAGUGGUGCGACGAACCUGGCUUCGGCCAGGGGCAAAGCCGCGAACGGGUGAGUAACACGUGGGUAAUCUGCCCCGAUGACUGGGACAACCCGAGGAAACUCGGGCUAAUACCGGAUGUGGUGCCUGGACAUAAGUCCGGUCACUAAAGGUAGCUUCGGCUUCCGCAUUGGGAGGGGCCCGCGGCCCAUUAGCUUGUUGGUGGGGUCAAGGCCUACCAAGGCAACGAUGGGUAGCUGGUCUGAGAGGACGAUCAGCCACACUGGGACUGAGACACGGCCCAGACUCCUACGGGAGGCAGCAGUGGGGAAUCUUGCGCAAUGCGCGAAAGCGUGACUCAGCAACACCGCGUGAGGGAAGACGGCCUUAGGGUUGUAAACCUCUUUCAGAUGGGACGAAGGUUGUCCGGUGAAUAGCCGAGAUGAUUGACGGUACCGUCAGAAGAAGCUCCGGCUAACUACGUGCCAGCCGCCGCAGUAA